rnacentral:ncRNA from 1 species
CUAAGUAAGGAAUGACAGAUUGAGAGUUCUUCCUUGAUUUUAUGGGUGGUGGUGCAUGGUUGUUCUUGGUUGGUGGAGCGAUUUGUCUAGUUAAUUCUGAUAUUUCCGAUAUCCAAUAGUCUGCAAGCCGGAUAUACCAAUAACUUAUGACUU